rnacentral:tRNA from 1 species
GGGGGUAUAGCUCAGUUGGUAGAGUGCCUGCCUCAUGUGCAUAAGGCCCUGGGUUCAAUCCCCAGCAUCACCA